GCUCACGAAAUCAAGAGGCAUAUACAAAGAAUGAAAGGCAAGAUUAUUAAUUUUGCUAUUAUUUUCUUCACUCUUUUUCUUUUAUUUAAUUAAUUUGGGAGUAGUAGGAGUACUAUUUUGAUUCAUUAUGCUGAUUUUCUGAUUAUGCUUUUGUUACACUUUUCAGCUGUAUUUGUUAAUUAAAGGACGUUUCUUUUCUCCUUUUCGGAUCUCUACAAUAACAUUGGAUACUUAAGGAUGUCUAUAUUCUAUAUAUGUACCUUUCUCAAUCAGUACAUUCUUUUAUUAGUUAGUAGGAAUAGAAUAUUCAAUUCUUAAAGAUUCUCUUAAAAUUCUUCAGUUUUGAGUUUAAUUCAAGCACAUGUCCUCCACUACUAAUGAAUCUUUGGAAUCAUUAGUAAUAGUAUUGACUGUUGGGUAUCAUCAAAAGUUGCAUAUAUGACUUAGGAAAUUGAUACCAUACAUAAUUAAUUAAUUAAUUAAUUUUCAAUGGAAAUUAAAUUAGGCGUGGAGAAUGCAGAACCAGACUUGAAAACUCACAAGUGACAGUGAAAGGUGUGUUUGAGGCAACAAAACUGGUGGAUUAUGUAAGCAAAAGGACCGGAAAACGGGCAGUAAUCGUUAAGUAGAACCCGAAAAGAAACCCGAGGAGGAGACGAAGCCCAAAGAAGAGAAAAAACCCGACGAAAAAGAAGCGAAGAAAGUUGAAGAAAACAAAGAGGAGAAGAAGAAAGAACUAGCAGGGGCACCAGCUAAAGAAGAAGCAACAGCAACACAAGCUAAAGAAGAAACUGUUCAAAACAAGUUUAGGAUGUGUUUGCACCCUGUUUGAAAAGAUCAAUAUGAAAAUAUUGCUAUGUCACAAGAAGACGUAGUUCAUGCUCUUGUUGAUGAGGAUAGUGGGGAGGAAUCGGAUCAUGUCUCUAACACCCAACGUUGACUUUUUUGAUUCGUAUACUUUUAGAUUGUAAUAUUGCUAUGUUUUCUUGGAUAUGUAUAUAUAUUUUUUUAUGAUAGUUUUAAUUCGAAUUAGAUGUACUUGUGAAGGUGAAUUUGAUUGUAGGAAGUAGUUUAUGGAUGUUUUAACUUUACGAUGUUUAAGUGUUUGAAUAUAAAAAGUAGUUUAUGGUUGUUUAAAAA